CCUACGGGAGGCUGCAGUGAGGAAUAUUGGUCAAUGGACGAGAGUCUGAACCAGCCAAGUAGCGUGAAGGAUGACUGCCCUAUGGGUUGUAAACUUCUUUUAUAUGGGAAUAAAAUGUUCCACGUGUGGGAUUUUGUAUGUACCAUAUGAAUAAGGAUCGGCUACCUCCGUGCCAGCAGCCGCGGUAAUACGGAGGAUCCGAGCGUUAUCCGGAUUUAUUGGGUUUACAGGGAGCGUAGGUGGAUUUGUAAGUCAGUUGUGAAAGUUUGCGGCUCAACCGUAAAAUUGCAGUUGAAACUGGCAGUCUUGAGUACAGUAGAGGUGGGCGGAAUUCGUGGUGUAGCGGUGAAAUGCUUAGAUAUCACGAAGAACUCCGAUUGCGAAGGCAGUUCACUGGACUGCAACUGACACUGAGGCUCGAAAGUGUGGGUAUCAAACAGGAUUAGAUACCCUUGUAGUC
rnacentral:rRNA from 1 species